CGUUUAGGGGUAAACCUGAGAAACCCGAAAGGUCGAAGGGAGAAAUUCAUUCGAGUUCGAUGUUGACGAUAGAUGGGCUCGUGUGACGGAAGUUGCGUUCGCGCGCAGCUUCUGCGCCUCUCGUUUAUCGAUUCGAUGACGAACUCGUGCACUUUUCUUCCGGUAGGACGUCGCGAUCCGUUGGGUGCCGGUCUAAGGGGUACGGUGGAGCCCGUUCAGCUUGCUGAAUGGACCCGUGCACUUCCCGGCCGGCUCGCUCGACGGUACACGAAUGGUUUGAGGCCGCUCUUGGAGCGUUCGACUUGUGGCAAGCGCGCCAGAUGCAUGUUGAAAAUCGGACUUUGUGCCGAUUCCGACCUCUGGUGACUGUUGGCUGCAAAGUUCUCGAACAGACCUCUAUAACCGAUCGGCGACGCUAUAGUUUUGGGUACUUUCAGGACCCGUCUUGAAACACGGACCAAGGAGUCUAGCAUGUACGCAAGUCAUUGGGAAUGACUAAACCUAAAGGCGUAAUGAAAGUAAAGAUCCUCCUAGCGAGGUUCGAGGGAAGAUGAGUGGUUUGCUAUUACUGCGGCCGCUUUUCAUUCCCGGGGCGUCUCAUUCUCAUUACGAGAAGAGGCGCACCAAGAGCGUACACGCUGGGACCCGAAAGAUGGUGAACUAUGCCUGGUCAGGACGAAGUCAGGGGAAACCCUGAUGGAGGUCCGUAGCGAUUCUGACGUGCAAAUCGAUCGUCGGAACUGGGUAUA
rnacentral:rRNA from 1 species